rnacentral:lncRNA from 1 species
UAUCUUCUAUUAAAACAAGAAAACUCAAAAAUAGAUCGUGUAGUAUUCUCGAGCUUUAUCCCCAGCCAGUCAGCAUUAGGGUUUUAAAACCCUAAACUGAAUUUUCCUUUUUGUCAGCAUUAGGGUUUUAAACCCUAAACUGAACUUUUUCCUUUCAGCUAGCAUUAGGGUUUUAAACCCUAAACUGAGCUUUUCCAUGCUAUCAACAUUAGGGUUUUAAACCCUAAACUGAAUUUUCCUUUUAGUCAGCAUUAGGGUUUUAAACCCUAAACUGAACUUUUUCCAUUCAGCCAGCAUUAGGGUUUUAAACCCUAAACUGAGUUUUUCCAUGCAAUCAGCAUUAGGGUUUUAAACCCUAAACUGAGCUUUUCUUUUUAGUCAGCAUUAGGGUUUUAAACCCUAAACUGAACUUUUUCCUUUCAGCCAGCAUUAGGGUUUUAAACCCUAAACUGAGCUUUUCCAUGCAAUCAGCAUUAGGGUUUUAAACCCUAAACCGAAUUUUCCUUUUAGUCAGCAUUAGGGUUUUAAACCCUAAACUGAACUUUUUCCAUUCAGCUAGCAUUAGGGUUUUAAACCCUAAACUGAGUUUUUCCAUGCAAUCAGCAUUAGGGUUUUAAACCCUAAAUUGAGCUUUUCCUUUUAGUCAGCAUUAGGGUUUUAAACCCUAAACUGAACUUUUUCCUUUCAGCCAGCAUUAGGUUUUUAAACCCUAAACUGAGCUUUUCCAUGCAAUCAGAAUUAGGGUUUUAAACCCAAAACUGAAUUUUCCUUUUAGU